rnacentral:rRNA from 11 species
CAAAAUAGAUCCGUAACUUCGGGACAAGGAUUGGCUCUAAGGGUUGAGUAUGAAGAGAACUGGAUAAUGGGGCUGUUCUACCUCAAGACUUGGCGACGUUCAGGCUUGGAAGAAGACGGGCCCUGUUUCCGGCGGGAAAGAGCCUAUCUUAAGAUUGGCUUUAAACUGUCUUCAUACAAAAAAAACAACCGACUUAGAACUGGUACGGACAAGGGGAAUCCGACUGU